UAUAAUUUAAAUCCAAUUUGAAAGAAAAAUGCUAGCUAGUAUGUUAAAGGAGUAUAAUGAGCAAUACUUGAUUAAACAAAAGCAAAAAAAGGAAAAGAAGACAAAAGUCUUUGCUCAUCAGUCAUCACUGAGCAUAUAUGAAUAAAGAUGUUCCCAACAACUUAUUAUUACAAAACCAUGUGAGAGAAAUCAUGUAAGCUGCCAAAUUGUGGGGCCGGCGAUAUGGAUGAAAUGUAUACCGGUCCGACCUUUUUAUAACAAUAUUCUUAUAUAAUAACACCUCAUUAUAAAAGUCAAACGUUUUUGAAAUCAAUUUUUAUGUUAUGUUAUAAUAUAUGUUCUCUAUAACAAUACUUCGCUAUAAUAUCCAAAAAUAUUUGGAACAAACGAGGAUGUUACACAGAUGUUUGAUUGUAUAAACAUCUAGACAUCUUAUAAUAUCUCUUCAUUGUAUAUAUUCAAGCAACAACAACAACAACAACUACUACCCAGUAUACUCCCACCAGGUGGGGUCUGGGGAGGGUAA
rnacentral:lncRNA from 1 species